rnacentral:lncRNA from 1 species
UAGAGCCUUAGUGCUAGCUACGGGUUGCGGGUGUGGUUACGUGUCCUGUCCCGUCGACACUGGGCCCGGUGCGCUGCCUGUGUCUCCGGCCCGGGCACUGCUUGGUAGAAGCCGCUCGGGUCCACAGCGGGGGCCUGCGGCAGGCCGGGCCGCCCUGAGCUCCUUCAGGGAACCUGCGCGGAGUGUGUGGAGAGGAGCGAGCAGAGACGAUGGAGAAAAAUGGAUGACUGAGGAAAUACAUCCCAUUUCCUCAGAAAAAUGUCGUCUUUCUCUGUACCUGCGGAUAAAUCAGUCCAGCACAGUUCACAGACCAACUGGAGCAUCUUCACUACGGAAAAACAUUCAAGCCUCAGCUUCCAGGAGGGGGUGAAAAUUAAGGCAACCAUUAACUGCUGCUGGGCUAAGCUUCAACAACAAACUUCAUCAACAAUCUACCCUUCGUGCCCUUGAAUGCUGGUGUUUCUUUUUGAGGUGUUUGAUAUGCUUCUUGCACUGCAUGGUAGUUGAUUUGACACCUGUCUCUACUAGGCUUUUUAAAUUAGCUCAUCUGGAUAGCCCUGGGUGAAAUUCUAUUAUCUGGAAUAUUCUGACCAGUGAUUGUCCAGAAUCACACCAGCCAGUUAGUAGCUUUCUGCAUGCAAAGCACCUCGUUGUUUUCAGGGCUGGACCAAGCAGUAUAGAAAUUGAAGCAGGCUGGAUGGGAAAUGAAGGGUUAAAAUGCCAAACAAAUAGUUAUGAAUCAGCUUAUAGCACAUGAUGCAAAAUAGGGGAGUGGGGAGUGGAAAGUGACAUGAUGGAUCCAAGGGUUAGAAAAACCUAGGAAUGACAGUGAAGGGCUAUUAGGACUCAAGCCUGUGCUACACCCACACAGAAAAAUAACUUGCUAGGGAGCAUGGCACAGUUAUACAUUAGCUUGGUUCCAUGCCUCCAAAAGAGCCUGUCAGCUCAGGUUUUACUUGCUUAUAGAUGUAUGCAUAAGAGCUGGGAGGGUAGAUAAUAAGUGCUUCAGCACUGUUGCUGGAUGCAAAAUAUAACCAGGUUCCACUCUAUCUAUAUGCCAUGAAUCAAGUAUAGAGCAGUGAUCUCUCUAAGAAAAAUGCUGCAGUUAAGUGUGGGUACCACUCUGCUUCUGAGUCACGUUUGAUAGUUGCAGAAUUGCAUUUAGAUACAAAAUACUGCAGGAAUUAUCUGAUGAUCCUUAUUUCUAAGUCACUCCAUGUUGUGAAAUACAACACAGAAAGAAAUUGUAUGGAGUACAGCAAUUGUAUGGUGUGGUUAUAACUAGAAAAGUGUCUGGACAAAAGAUCGGUUCAGAGAACUUCCUUCCCAACCCACUCAGGGUCUACUGUAUAAACCUUGUGCAGGUCUUUUCUGCUCCUGCAGUCCUCUGCCUGGAACCAGAGAGAGGCUUUUGCUCAAUUUUUCCACCUUUCAGCUGGUCUCACUCCAU